AAAAAAAUACAUGCAUUUAAUAUGUCUCCAAAACUGUUUUUGUAAGUUUGGGAUAACCAAGUCAUAUAUUUCUUGUUUAUGCCCUUAAUCUGACUACUUUCUUUAUGACUGAUUAUAGAGUAUUCAAAUACAUUGAUGACUUCAAAUGCUUCUUUGGGGUCUGUUAAGUUAUGUUAUACCAUUAAGAAUGCUCUGCUGGAAACAUUUCUAUGAAAAUCUCCUUACAAUAUGCACAAAACCCUGAUGAAUUUUACAAAUGCAAAGUGUUUGUCCUUUCUCUUUAGAUUUAAACACACUACAUGAGCAAAUGUGUUUGAUGAAAGACUGACAGUUACCAAACUCUGGAGAUGCACUUCCUACUCCUGCCUUUGUUCACCACCAUCACCACCCAGUUUCAUAAAGAGUCAAGGCGACCGAGGUACAGAGGAAGAGAUCGGCGAAAGGGGGAGCACCAUGUCAUGGGACCGAUUCCAAGAGCUGAGUCUGCAAGCUCUUGAAUCGGAGCCAUAACAAUUCGCACUCCUCUAUAGCUCCUACGGACACCUGGCAGCAAAGCAUGGGAAAUUCUGGAGUGAGAAUCAAAACAAUUUUAAUGAGUAGUUUGUGUUGUAGUGAUGAUAAUGAUACAUGGGGUGGGGCUUGGGUGAUGAUAUUUAUGUGUGGUGUGACGUUGUAGCAAAGGUAAUAAAGAUGAUUGUAUGUAAACAUUAUGUCAUUCUCGACUUUUCCAAGUCGUGUGUUCUUCAAUAAAGAUAAGUUUUGAUAGCAGCUGCCUUUAGUCUGUGUUCAUGCUGAUCGUUUGAAGUAAGCGUGACACUAAUCUAAGCACCAAAAUGGACCCUAUCAAUUAACAAUUUCAAAAAGACAACAAUACACUCAAGCAUUUGUUUACAGACAUUUCUGCUCUACUGCCUGAUGUUUCUCUUACCCAUUCAGGCAGAUUGUGCAUUUCCUUUCAAACAUGCCCGUUACUAGUGAGGUCCCUGUGUCAGCACCAUUGGAAUAAAGUGGUUGCCAAGAAGCAAGGUGAAUGGCAGGUGUUGAUGGAUGUUAGAUAGAUGGAUAAAGGCUCAUUUUUCAUCUUUUGUGAUGCUUUGGAGCAGACUGAUGGUGCUGUCAUAAACUUUCAGUAGGAGACAACAUGAUAUCUUGUGUCUUCAGCUGCACCGUCAAGAAGCAUGAUUGCAGAAUAUUUUGACUUCAUCUGCUGCCUUUGCAAAGAUGACUUUCAACAUGUUUGUAGAGAUUAUUUGGAGAGCUCAUACAUUAUUUAUCAGAACCAUUUGCAAUAUGUAGGGCACACCGCCUUUCUGCAUCCCUUGUGAUAUGCCAAAGCUACAGGUUCUUGCUGUGUACACCAUUCUUAUGUGUUUACCAAUAACUUAUUUUCUAGUGAAAAUGAUAUAUGUUUCCCAAAAUAAUCAUAGAUCAUGUCACAUCAUGACUAAAAUCUAUAUUUAAUUCUAUAUUAUACAAAUGCUAAUAUCCUGACUACUAUGCAUGACAUUACCUCUGCAUAAACCUGCUUGUUCUGGGGGUGUUGAUUGCCCUCCAGGCUUUUAGCAAACUUAUGAAUGGAGAAAAACUCAUAUAGUUGAUAUGAUAUAUGAAUGCUAUAUACGAAUUAACUAAAUUUCAGUCAAACAAGUGGACAAAAGUGCAGCCACUGACUUUGUGACAUCCAGGUCUGUUUUUAUGAGCCUUAGGACCCCUCAGGCCUGGAGGCAUUUCACCACAUUGGUGGGGGUGGGAGUGAGUUAGUUUAGAUUAGGACCUCAUCAUAUUGAUGUCCUCCUCUGUUUUGUCCUAUUUCACCAGGAAUCACUGGCGAAAUAUAACGUGUGCAUGGGGCCUUGUGGUGUCCCACACACCCUCCCUCCUC
ensembl:lncRNA